rnacentral:lncRNA from 10 species
UGUUCUAAGAACUUUAUAUGUAUCAACUUCUCCUUGAAUCUUCACAACCACUUUAUAAAGCACAUAUUCAUGUAUGGUCACUUUAACGCAGUGCUACCGUCUGAGACGUGUCGGACAAAGGCCUGGGCAGAGGGGCUAGAAACCAUGUAUCACCAAAGCCAACUUCUUUCCCAGAUUUCAGAAUUGCUGGUUCAACUGCAAAAGUAGGAAGGCAAUGAGUAAUUUCUGCUCUGCAGGACAAGAUUACCAUUAACUACCAUCAUGACUUCAGAAGAUGCUGUCACGAUGAAAUUCAUUUCUGCUGCCUAACCCCAUAAUAAGGCUGGCUGUUCUCUUUAAGUAAAAUGACUAAGCUAUUGAUCUUUUCACUGCAGAAUCCCCUUUAUUUUGUUAUUAUCAAAACCAUGUGGGAGCUUUUCAUAUUUUGCCUUGGAAAGAAAAUGAAUUUCACAGCUGCAAGUCAGACGUUGUCUAAGAAUUCUUCCCCCGAUGUCUUUCUUUUCUUUUUUUUCCUCUCUCAAUCUCUUUUGUUUUUCACCCCAAAUUCAGUUUUCCAAUAGGUGUCAUUUAUUCUGAUGCUCUGACAUCUUCUGAAAGAUUCUCAUGCCCAAGCUAUACAGACCUUGCAUGCUUUUAAAACACAAUGGCAACAGGCUCCUGCUGGAGUCCCCCAGCGCCGAAUUUCCAGCAGAACCUUUGGAAUCCUCGCAGCCGCCUUGUCUGCCCUGGGCUGUGCCGCCCCAGCUCUGAUCAGCUCAGGACACUUGCAGGCUCCGUGGUACUGUACAUUAACUCUGCAGCAGCCUGGCUCAGCUGCAGAGACUGCUGCCUGACAGGGGAUGUGCUGGCGUCAAGGGGGCCCUCUAGGUGGGUUCCCAGACAUUGCAGAGCCGCGCACUCCUUGCUAACCUCCAAGUAAGAGCAAGCAAAAGGGGUUAAAGGAAUAGCUCGCCCUGGAAGAGCAGACUUCUUUCAGUAAUUACCAGGCAAGAAAAGCUAAACAAGGAGAAGCCUGUAAAACACCUCACAGGGAAAUUACGCCUUAAACAAAUACGG